GUUAGAUUUAAGAUACCGCCUGCCCAGUGAUAAAUGGCCGCGGUACUUUGACCGUGCUAAGGUAGCAUAAUCAGUUGACUUUUAAAUGGAGCCCGGAAUGAAUGGCUGGGGGCUAACUGUCUCUUCUUUACUCAAUUGAAUUUACUUUUUAGGUGAAAAAGCCUAAAUAAGAUUAAAAGACGAGAAGACCCUAGGAGUUUAGAUUUUGUUGGGGCGACAUAGGAUUCCUGUACAAGAUUUUACCACUAGACGAUUUUAAGAAGGAUAACACUACCCUAGGGAUAACAGCAUAAUUUAAGUUUGUGACCUCGAUGUUGGACUAGGGAAUGAAUAGGCGAGCUGUCUAUUUUUUUGGUUCUGUUCGAACUUUUAACCCUACGUGAUCU
rnacentral:rRNA from 1 species